UUUAUUGGGAACACAGUUCGGUAGGUGACCUUGCGGAAGAAUCAUAAUGAAGUUUUUGAUUGGGUUGUAGCUGGCCUUCCGAGGCAUGUGCACGCCCUGUUCAAUCCACUUUACACCUGUGCCCUUCCUGUGGGUGAGGGAUCGCAAAGCGGGUUUUUGUCCGUUAUAAGGGCAUCUGGUGGCCUGCGUUUACCCCAAAUUCUUUGAAAGUACUAGAAUGUAAUAUUGGGAUAUAAUAGAUCUAUAUCCAACUUUCAGCAACGGAUUUUUUGGCUCUGGCAUGGAUGAAGAACGCAGGGAAAUGCGAUAAGUAAUGUGAAUUGCAGAAUUCAGUGAUUCAUGGAAUCUUUGAACGCCCCUUGCGCUCCUUGGUAUUCCGAGGAGUAUGCCUGUUUGAGUGUCAUGAAAUUUUCAACUUGCCACCCUUUUUGGGGAGUUUGUAGGCUUGGCCUUGGAGGGCUUGUUGGCCCUUUAAUGUUGGGCUCUUUUUAAAUGCAUUAGCUUGAUUCCUUGGGGAUCGGCUGUGGGUGUGAUAAAAUGUUUACGCCGUGCCCGUGAAGCGUUUGGAUGAGCUUCCACCUGUCUUGCUUCAAAGCCAAGUUUUUAUGACCUCUGACCUCAAAUCAGGUAGGACUACCCGCUGAACUUAAGCAUAUCAAUAAGCGGAGAAAAGUGUAGCAAUCC
rnacentral:rRNA from 1 species